rnacentral:rRNA from 1 species
UAACUUAAGCAUAUCAAUAACGGGAGGAAAAGAAACCAACAGGGAAUUGCCUCAGUAACUGCGAGUGAAGCGGCAAAAGCUCAAAUUUGAAAUCUGGUACCUCUGGGUGCCCGAGUUGUAAUUUGGAGAGGCAACUUCGGAGAGGGCGCUGGCCUAAGUUCCUUGGAACAGGACGUCACAGAGGGUGAGAAUCCCGUGCGUGGCUGGCUGUCCUUCUUCAUGUGAAGUGUCUUCGACGAGUCGAGUUGUUUGGGAAUGCAGCUCAAAAUGGGUGGUAAACUCCAUCUAAGGCUAAAUACUGGCGAGAGACCGAUAGCGCACAAGUAGAGUGAUCGAAAGAUGAAAAGCACUUUGAAAAGAGAGUUAAACAGUACGUGAAAUUGUUGAAAGGGAAGCGCUUGAGACCAGACUCGGUGAUUGGUGAUCAGCGGUAGCUUUUGCUCCGUGCACUUGCCUUUUACCGGGCCAGCAUCAGUUGCAGGGGUGGGAUAAAGACCUAGGGAAUGUGGCUCCCUUCGGGGAGUGUUAUAGCCCUGGGUGUAAUGCUGCCUGUUGCGACUGAGGACCGCGCUUUGGCUAGGAUGCUGGCAUAAUGGUCUUCAGCGACCCGUCUUGAAACACCGGACCA